ACGAACGCUGGCGGCGUGGAUAAGACAUGCAAGUCGAACGGGAGUUUGUUUAUAGCAAUAUGAGUGAGCUCUAGUGGCGAAAGGGUGCGUAACACGUAGCUACCUACCUCGAAGUUGGGGAUAGCUCGGCGAAAGCCGGAUUAAUACCGAAUGUGAUCGUGAGAUCAAAGCUGGGGAUCGUAAGACCUGGCGCUUUGAGAUGGGGCUGCGGCCUAUCAGGUAGUUGGCGGGGUAAUGGCCCACCAAGCCUAAGACGGUAGCUGGUCUGAGAGGACGACCAGCCACACUGGAACUGAGACACGGUCCAGACACCUACGGGUGGCAGCAGUCGAGGAUUUUUCNCAAUGGGGAAACCCUGAAGGAGCGACGCCGCGUGAGGGAUGAAGGUCUUCGGAUUGUAAACCUCUGUCAUCUGGGAACAAUGUAAUCUACCUAACACGUGGAUUAUUGAUAGUACCGGAAGA
rnacentral:rRNA from 1 species